AAAUCUCGUAAAAAGCCAGUGAACGCAGCGUCAUACGGGCACCCCCACCUCACUCCCCCGGAAACCCCCGGAUGAACCCGCAGGAAGGCGCGCGGCUGAAGAACUCUUGGACAGCUGGAAGGCCGCAGGAUCACGGUGAAGGCCUCUUCUGUAUAGAGGACGGGGGCGGAAACGUCACGUGGUCUCCGCAGAGACUGGUCAGUUAUUUGGAGACAACAUGUACAAAUAGUUCCUGGACUGAUCUUCUGCUAACUUUGAGAUGGAGAGGCUGUCAGGUUCAUCUGUUUCAGGGUCCUGCAUGCUCUCCCUCCAUGUUGGCUGUAGCAGUGGAUGGAACUUGCUAAAUGUACUGUUUUGAGAGCCAACUGGGCUCAGUGGUUAUUUGGAAGAUGCGUUUUUGACCAAAAACACUGUGGUGACCUCCUUUGUGAACUGCAUUCAUGGGGAAAUAGAAUAUAAUCCUGGAGAUGGGAGAUGUGGAGCAGGUAAGUUUGUGGCAGCACCAGAGUCCUCCAACAAGUUUUCUGGCAAAGUAAAUGAGGAAGGAUCGCAGUCUGCCAUCGUGGAGUUUUGCUGAAAGGCCUGAACACGUUCCAUCCAUGCAUCCAUCUUCUUCCAUUCAUCAGGAACCAGGUUGUGAGGGCAGCAGUCUAAGCAAAGAUGCCCACACUUCCCUCUCCUCCAGCUCCUCUUGGGGGACCCCGGGGCCAGCUGAGAGACGUAGUCUCCCCAGCGUGUCCUGGGUCUCCCUUAGGGCCUCUGCCCUUAUUCCUGUUGGAGUUUUUUUCUAACCCCUUAUGUUUCAAAAGUUUGCAAACAUACAUUUUGGUUGAAAUGAUGAGGAUCCGAGGAUGAAAUCAAGAAGGGACAACAUCAGGGAAAGGGACUGAACCGACUGAACAGCUUCCUCUCUUCAGCAGACACAUGUUCCGAGUACAUAUGUGUCAAAUAUUGACAUCCUCGCCGUUCAGGCCGGUGGCUGGAACAAGCGGAAGUCAGAAAAGCUGGAGCAGACGUUACCAGAAUGAUACCUCCAGGACCAAUCAAAAUGACCCAGAGAAAAACACUGAAGGGCUUUGUCUGAGCAUCAGGAAAACAAGAAUCAGCUGUCAUCAACAUAUGGUGGAUAAAGGUGGAAAGAUUUCAUGUAAUCCAUGGACACCAGUGAAGAUCACAAAUCAUUGAAGAAAAAAGGUUCAGAGCACUGUCUAGUGGGUCUAGAUGACCCAACUCCCAAUGGUUAUGGUGCCAUGGUAAAGAACUAAAGGCUCUAUGAUGUCAUGCUGCUGACCAGACUGUGGUUGGUGAAGUCCAGCAGCACUGCAGGUCCUUGAAGUGUGGUUGAAGAGCUCUCCUCCCAGCUUUUGGAAGGUUCUGCCCCACAAAGCAGCACAGAGUCAUUGAUGGAGAGAGAACAUGAGGGACUAAUUGUCUGCUGAGGAGGAGACUUUCUGCAGUUCAAGCCCCAGCUCCACCCCUAAAAAAAGGCUUAUAUAAAGGAAAACCUCAUUUCAACUUUGUACCAAUAAAUGACUUUUAAUUGAAA